rfam:Otolemur garnettii contig164202, whole genome shotgun sequence.
CAGUCCCGGCCAAAAACUGCAAAAAAAUAAAAAAAAGAAGAAGAAGAAGAUUAGCAUAGUCCCUAUGCAAGGAUGAUAUGCAAAUUUGUGAACUGUUCCAUACAUUU